rnacentral:rRNA from 1 species
CGACUCCAUGAAGCUGGAUUCGCUAGUAAUCGCGCAUCAGCCACGGCGCGGUGAAUACGUUCCCGGGCCUUGUACACACCGCCCGUCAAGCCAUGGAAGCCGGGGAGUGCCUGAAGUGCGUGACCGCAAGGAGCGUCCUAAGGCAAUACCGGUGACUGGGGCUAAGUCGUAACAAGGUACC